rnacentral:snoRNA from 1 species
GAGACUAUACUUUCAGGGAUCAUUUCUAUAGUUUGUAACUAGAGAAGUGUAGCCGAAAGUGACUUGAGCUGGUGCAAUUCCUGGCCACCAGGUGAAGGAGGAA